AAUCAACGCUGGCGGCGUGCCUAACACAUGCAAGUCGAGCGGGAAAGGGGGCUUCGGCCCCUGAGUAUAGCGGCGGACGGGUGAGUAACACGUGGGUAAUUUGCCCUUGGGUGUGGAAUAACUCAGGGAAACUUGAGCUAAUACCGCAUGACAUCCCCUUCACACACGAGUCGGGGAUCAAAGCCGGGGACCCUUCGGGGCCUGGCGCCUGAGGAGAAGCCCGCGCCCGAUUAGCUAGUUGGGAGGUAAUGGCUCACCAAGGCUUCGAUCGGUAGCCGGCCUGAGAGGGCGGACGGCCACACUGGGACUGAGACACGGCCCAGACUCCUACGGGAGGCAGCAGUGGGGAAUUUUGUCAAUGGGGGAAACCCUGAACAAGCAACGCCGCGUGGAGGACGACGACCUGGUGUAA
rnacentral:rRNA from 1 species